rnacentral:tRNA from 1 species
GGCCCCUUAGCUCAGUGGUUAGAGCAGGCUACUCAUAAUCGCUUGGUCGUUGGUUCAAACCCAACAGGGGCCACCA